rnacentral:rRNA from 1 species
AUACGGCGGGUGCAAGCGUUAUCCGGAUUUAUUGGGUUUAAAGGGUGCGCAGGCGGACCUGUCAGUCAGUGGUGAAAUCCCGGGGCUCAACCCCGGAACUGCCAUUGAUACUACAGGUCUUGAAUACGGUUGAAGUAGGCGGAAUGUAGCAUGUAGCGGUGAAAUGCAUAGAUAUGCUACAGAACACCGAUCGCGAAGGCAGCUUACUAAGCCGAUAUUGACGCUCAGGCACGAAAGCGUGGGUAGCGAACAGGAUUAGAUACCCUAGUAGUCC